rnacentral:rRNA from 1 species
AGAGUUUGAUUCUGGCUCAGAACGAACGCUGGCGGCGCGUUUAAGCAUGCAAGUCGAGCGGCAAGGGCCUUCGGGCCCUAGAGCGGCGGACGGGUGAGUAACACGUGGACAAUCUGCCCCCCGGCCCGGGAUAGCCCAGGGAAACCUGGAUUAAUACCGGAUGAGACGGGACCCGCGAUGGCGGGAUCCGGGAAAGGCGCUGCGGCGCCGCCGGGGGAUGAGUCUGCGUCCCAUUAGCUAGACGGCGGGGUAACGGCCCACCGUGGCGACGAUGGGUAGCCGGCCUGAGAGGGUGGACGGCCACAUUGGAACUGAGACACGGUCCAGACUCCUACGGGAGGCAGCAGCUAAGAAUCUUCCGCAAUGGGCGAAAGCCUGACGGAAGCGACGCCGCGUGAACGAAGAAGGCCGUGAGGUUGUAAAGUUCUUUUCGGGAGGGGGAACAACCGUGGCAGGGAAUGGCCGCGGGAUGACGUGAAUCCCGGAAUAAGCCCCGGCUAACUACGUGCCAGCCGCCGC